rnacentral:rRNA from 1 species
CGAGUGGAUCCCUUCGGGGUGAAGCUCGUGGAACGAGCGGCGGACGGGUGAGUAACACGUGGGCAACCUGCCUGUAAGAUCGGAAUAACCCCGGGAAACCGGGGCUAAUGCCGGGUAAUACUUUCUUUCGCAUGAAGGAAAGUUGAAAGAUGGCUUCUCGCUAUCACUUACAGAUGGGCCCGCGGCGCAUUAGCUAGUUGGUGAGGUAACGGCUCACCAAGGCGACGAUGCGUAGCCGACCUGAGAGGGUGAUCGGCCACACUGGGACUGAGACACGGCCCAGACUCCUACGGGAGGCAGCAGUAGGGAAUCUUCCGCAAUGGACGAAAGUCUGACGGAGCAACGCCGCGUGAACGAUGAAGGUCUUCGGAUCGUAAAGUUCUGUUGUUAGGGAAGAACAAGUACCGUGCGAAUAGAGCGGUACCUUGACGGUACCUAACGAGGAAGCCCCGGCUAACUACGUGCCAGCAGCCGCGGUAAUACGUAGGGGGCAAGCGUUGUCCGGAAUUAUUGGGCGUAAAGCGCGCGCAGGCGGUUCCUUAAGUCUGAUGUGAAAGCCCACGGCUCAACCGUGGAGGGUCAUUGGAAACUGGGGAACUUGAGGACAGAAGAGGAGAGUGGAAUUCCACGUGUAGCGGUGAAAUGCGUAGAUAUGUGGAGGAACACCAGUGGCGAAGGCGACUCUCUGGUCUGUUUCUGACGCUGAGGUGCGAAAGCGUGGGUAGCAAACAGGAUUAGAUACCCUGGUAGUCCACGCCGUAAACGAUGAGUGCUAGGUGUUAGGGGGCUUCCACCCCUUAGUGCUGAAGUUAACGCAUUAAGCACUCCGCCUGGGGAGUACGGCCGCAAGGCUGAACUCAAAGGAAUUGACGGGGGCCCGCACAAGCGGUGGAGCAUGUGGUUUAAUUCGAGCACGCGAGACUUUACCAGGUCUGACAUCCUGGACAUCUAGAGAAUAGGACUUCCUCCGGGAACAGUGACAGUGUGCAUGGCUGUCGUCAGCUCGUUCCUGAAUGUAUUUAGUCCGCACGGAGCCAUCGUAUCUUACUGCAGCAUCUUGGACCUUGAGGGGAACCUUGC